rnacentral:lncRNA from 1 species
GGCUCCUUCGCCGGACGUUAUUGUCCCGGUGACGGUUAACUGCCCCAAACGGCAAUACGUCCCUGCUCCUAAGCUGCCCUGCGCAACAGGGAAACACCUGGAUGUCAGCCCGUGCCGCUGCCAGCCAACACGGGUGGCUGACGGACUGCUUAUUGAAUGUGAUCGUGUUAUGAAAGUCAAGAGAUUAUUAAAGGCACCUUCUUUUUCCCAGAACUGUUUGAGCACCUCUAAGUGAUAGCUGCUUGAAAUUUCACUCCAGGUAAAUUAAACCAAAUGAUAACUGUAGAAAUGAACUAAGUUUUACACAGAAGAUAGCCUGUGAUCUAAUAGAAAGUAGUUCUAAAUUACAGCUCAUCCUUCUGCAUUUUUCACCACCAGCACCCAUCAUCUGUGCAUUACUUCUGUUGCUAAGAAUUUGGCAAUGUUUUAGCAGCCAGCUACUGUUUAUAAGAAGGCAUCCCAGCAGCUAAAAGAAGUCAGUCGUUGGGAUUACUCAUUAUUUGCCUCUUGAGCUGCUCCAGGGAUUUUCUUGAGGAACUACAUCAAAAUUAGCUUUAGAAAAUCAAUAGCUUGUGAGCUUUGACUGACGCAUAGCAAGGGCUCACUUGAUGCUGGCCGAAUUGGGGAGAAAGAUACUUUUCGUUGGUAUACAGUGAAGAUCUUUCCCCUCUCUGCAAGAAGAAAUUUGUUCUAUUGGCAACUCGAUCACCAGGAUAACAUGAAUGCCAGGAGGUAAGCUGCAUGUACUACAUUCCCCCAGACAGGUAGAAAUAGGAAAGCAAGCUACUGACAGGGAGAAUAUUCCUCUUGUGACCUUAACUUGAUACUGCCAGAUUAUCAUGAACUAUGUCAUUUGAUUUGCUGCUAUGCAAGACACAGAAGAUAGCCUUUAUCUUGAUACAAAUGUUAAACGUGUACUUCUCACCGUAAAACCAGUUUCUGUAAAAUAUCAACUUCAGAACUUGUUUUACUGAUGAAUUACCUUUGCAGAUUGCACUUCCAAGCCUUUCAUCUUUAAAAAUCAGUUCUAACAGCUAUCUUUCAAGUACACUUAAGUGUCUAAAUACAAUUUGUGGUUAAGAGUUCCUAAGUCAUAAAUUGUGUCUGCUCUAACAUUUAUUUUUUGGGGGUAACUCCUACUCUUCUCUGGUAAGAAUAGCAGGAACGUGUAUGAAUGAGAGUUGUAACAUAUAUAAUACUUCUCAGACCUCUUCUAAGCUACAUGAAAAGAUCAAGAUGACUUUGCCGAUGAUCCUUUCGGCAUUACAGUUCACAUGAAAUUGUGGCCCACUGGGGCCAGGACAAAUUUAAGUUGAGACAGCAAUAACUGGAAGUUUUUGCUGUAAGCUAGCACUUUUGCUUUCAAACCCUUUGGGAAAGGUGACAAAGCAAUGUAAAAUAUUAUUCCAGAGAAUGCUGCACAUACUCUCUGUGUAGUUACUCCUGUCUAGUAUUUUUGGCUAAUGACAGACUGCUGAGGGAAGUCCCCUCUGCAAAGUAGAAAUAAAAAACACAUUAGAGCAGAACA